GGGUUGUGAGGUUAAGCGACUAAGCGUACACGGUGGAUGCCCUGGCAGUCAGAGGCGAUGAAGGGCGUGCUAAUCUGCGAUAAGCGCCGGUAAGGUGAUAUGAACCGUUAUAACCGGCGAUACCCGAAUGGGGAAACCCAGUGUGACUCGUCACACUAUCAUUAACUGAAUCCAUAGGUUAAUGAGGCGAACCGGGGGAACUGAAACAUCUAAGUACCCCGAGGAAAAGAAAUCAACCGAGAUUCCCCCAGUAGCGGCGAGCGAACGGGGAGGAGCCCAGAGCCUGAAUCAGCAUGUGUGUUAGUGGAAGCGUCUGGAAAGGCGCGCGAUACAGGGUGACAGCCCCGUACACAAAAGCGCAUGUGCUGUGAGCUCGAUGAGUAGGGCGGGACACGUGGUAUCCUGUCUGAAUAUGGGGGGACCAUCCUCCAAGGCUAAAUACUCCUGACUGACCGAUAGUGAACCAGUACCGUGAGGGAAAGGCGAAAAGAACCCCGGCGAGGGGAGUGAAAAAGAACCUGAAACCGUGUACGUACAAGCAGUGGGAGCACCCUUUGGGUGUGACUGCGUACCUUUUGUAUAAUGGGUCAGCGACUUAUAUUCUGUAGCAAGGUUAA
rnacentral:rRNA from 1 species